CCGCCCAUAGCUCAGUUGGUAGAGCAAUCGCCUUUUAAGCGAGAGGUCGUAGGUUCGAUUCCUACUGGGCGGA
rfam:Candidatus Taylorbacteria bacterium RIFCSPLOWO2_12_FTLL_44_15c rifcsplowo2_12_scaffold_2114, whole genome shotgun sequence.